rnacentral:tRNA from 1 species
GGAAAAAUUGUCAUUGGUAAGGCACAAUACAUGCUAGGUAUUCUCCAAUCAGGAUUAUGGGUUCGAAUCCCAUUUUUUCCG